AUCACAUUUGAUGGACAAUUUAUGCAGAAAUCCAGGUCAUUCCACAGGGUUCACAUACUUUGUCUUGCCACUGUAGCACCAAAAACUCAUUUAGUCCUGCUUCUCUGUUGUUCCUCUGCAGCAGACAUACAGGGGUCAUACAGGGGUCAUACAGGGGUCAUACAGGGGUCAUACUUACCAGCUUACCAACCAAUUCCUCUGUUCCUCUGCAGCAGACAUACAGGGGUCAUACAGGGUCAUACUUACCAGCUUACCAACCAAUUCCUCUGUUCCUCUGCAGCAGACAUACAGGGGUCAUACAGGGGUCAUACUUACCAGCUUACCAACCAAUUCCUCUGUUCCUCUACAGCAGACAUACAGGGGUCAUACAGGGGUCAUACUUACCAACAUUAGAACACGUUUAAGGUUAAGUUUAGGCAUCAGCCAAUUGAAGUCGUUGACGUCGUGUCACGUGAUAGAACGCUCACUACAUUGUAGCUGGUCCCAUCAGGUAACCUGCCACACGUUAGCCCUGUGCUAACCUCCCCAUCAGGUAACCUGCCACACGUUAGCCCUAUGCUAACCUCCCCAUCAGGUAACCUGCCACACGUUAGCCCUAUGCUAACCUCCCCAUCAGGUAACCUGCCACACGUUAGCCCUAUGCUAACCUCCCCAUCAGGUAACCUGCCACACGUUAGCCCUAUGCUAACCUCCCCAUCAGGUAACCUGCCACACGUUAGCCCUAUGCUAACCUCCCCAGGGGCAGUCAUUAUUUCCUGUAACAUCUUCCUCAUCAGCCUAUCAAAUAUCUUCCAAAUCUUUUUCUCCACAAAUCAACAAAGCAUUUCUUGAAAUGGUUCAACUCGGCCACCAGGGGAAUUUUAUAAACAUCCAAAGUGGAGGUUUACUUUUGUUCCACUUGGGUCUGUCACAACUACCGAUAUGCUGCAUGAUGGGUCCUUGACUAAGCUACGAGCUACUGAAGAUUGAACAAAUUCUAAAUGCAUGUUUUCUCACAUAUGACAAGCUGUUGCUUAUCCGUUUAACACACAGUCCAUGUGCUUUUAGUGAAUAAAGGACGUCUAUACAAGAGGUACAUAGUAGAAAAGAAGUCAAACGGGUGACAUCACUGCCAAGUGGCGUUCAGCAGCGCUAAGGCUCUUAACUCUGAUUCUCUGGGUUACAGGAACCACGGGUUCGAGUCCCCCUCAAGUCUGAUUCUCUGGGUUACAGGAACCACGGGUUCGAGUCACCCUCAAGUCUGAUUCUCUGGGUUACAGGAACCACGGGUUCGAGUCCCCCUCAAGUCUGAUUCUCUGGGUUACAGGAACCACGGGUUCGAGUCCCCCUCAAGUCUGAUUCUCUGGGUUACAGGAACCACGGGUUCGAGUCCCCCUCAAGUCUGAUUCUCUGGGUUACAGGAAUCACGGGUUCGAGUCCCCCUCAAGUCUGAUUCUCUGGGUUACAGGAACCACGGGUUCGAGUCCCCCUCAAGUCUGAUUCUCUGGGUUACAGGAACCACGGGUUCGAGUCCCCCUCAAGUCUGAUUCUCUGGGUUACAGGAACCACGGGUUCGAGUCCCCCUCAAGUCGGGCGUUUUUGUUGUUGUUAAAGAAACAACUGUUCACUGCUGGUCCUCAGUGCUUGACUCAAAUUAGGCAGAUGUGACA